UACGGAGGAUCCGAGCGUUAUCCGGAUUUACUGGGUGUAAAGGGCGCGUAGGCGGGAAUGCAAGUCAGAUGUGAAAUCUAGGGGCUUAACCCCUAAACUGCAUUUGAAACUGUAUUUCUUGAGUGUCGGAGAGGUUGACGGAAUUCCUAGUGUAGCGGUGAAAUGCGUAGAUAUUAGGAGGAACACCAGUGGCGAAGGCGGUCAACUGGACGAUAACUGACGCUGAGGCGCGAAAGCGUGGGGAGCAAACAGG
rnacentral:rRNA from 1 species